rnacentral:lncRNA from 1 species
GCCCCUGGUGUGUCUCGGACAAUAACACUAAAUCAUCUGCAUAGCUGAGAGUUUGGAUACUUGAAGUAUCAAGAACUGGAGGGUUACAAUUUACAUCAAAAAUUGAAUGUAAAUCAUUUAUAUAACAAUUAAACAAAGUAGGACUUAAACUGUCCCCUUGUCUUACACCUCUAAUUAUUGGAAAAAACAAAGAGUGUUCAU